rnacentral:rRNA from 1 species
GACGAACGCUGGCGGCGUGCCUAAUGCAUGCAAGUCGCACGCGCCACCUUCGGGUGGUGAGUGGCGCACGGCUGAGGAUCACGUGGGAACAUGCCUCCUUGUGGGGGGACAACAGCGCGAGAGCGCUGCUAAUCCCGCAUACGCGCGGCAACGAGGAAAGCGUGUAAACGCGCAGGGAGAGUGGCCCGCGGCCCAUCAGG